AUUGAACGCUAGCGGCAGGCCUAACACAUGCAAGUCGAACGAGUGGCGGACGGGUGAGUAAUGUCUGGGAAACUGCCCGAUGGAGGGGGAUAACUACUGGCAACGGUAGCUAAUACCGCAUACCAUCGGCUGUGCCCCGAUGGGAUUAGCUAGGAGGUGGGGUAACGGGGCACCUAGUCGACGAUCCCUAGCUGGUCUGAGAGUAUGACAAGCAAUAGGGGAAAGGAGAAACGGUGUAUACGCCUACGGGAGGAAGCAGUGGGGAAUAUUGCACAAUGGGCGCAAGCCGGAUGCAGCCAUGACGCGUGUAUGAAGAAGGCCUUCGGGUUGUAAAGUACGUUCAGCGAGGAGGCGUUACUCGCAGAAGAAGCACCGGCUAACUCCGUGGCAGCCGCGGCGGUAAUAC
rnacentral:rRNA from 1 species